rnacentral:pre_miRNA from 2 species
AAUCCCGUCCUGUUCCUAAGUACUAGUGCCGCAGGAGUGACUAGACUGGGCUAGAAAUUACCGCGUCUCCUGCUGCUCAAGUGCUUAUCAAUGG